rnacentral:rRNA from 1 species
ACGGAAGGCAGCAGUGGGGAAUAUUGGUCAAUGGACGGAAGUCUGAACCAGCCAAGUCGCGUGCGGGAUGAAGGCCCUACGGGUCGUAAACCGCUUUUGUACGGGGAUAAAGUCACCCACGUGUGGGUGUUCGUAGGUACCGUAAGAAUAAGGAUCGGCUAACUCCGUGCCAGCAGCCGCGGUAAUACGGAGGAUCCGAGCGUUAUCCGGAUUUAUUGGGUUUAAAGGGUGCGCAGGCGGGCUGCUAAGUCUCCGGUGAAAUGUCAGGGCUCAACCUUGGCACUGCCGGAGAUACUGGCGGCCUUGAGAGUGGCGGAGGUAUCCGGAAUGUGUGGUGUAGCGGUGAAAUGCAUAGAUAUCACACAGAACACCGAUUGCGAAGGCAGGAUACCAUACCAUAUCUGACGCUCAGGCACGAAAGCGUGGGGAUCGAACAGGAUUAGAUACCCUGGUA